AUUCUGGGCGUAAAGCGCGCGUAGGCGGUCCGUUAAGUCUGAUGUGAAAUCCCGCGGCUCAACCUCGGAACUGCCUUGGAAACUGGUGGACUUGAGUACGGGAGAGGGAAGUGGAAUUCCCAGUGUAGCGGUGAAAUGCGUAGAUAUUGGGAGGAACACCGGUGGCGAAGGCGGCUUACUGGGCCGAUACUGACGCUGAAGUGCGAAAGCGUGGGGAGCAAACAGGAUUAGAUACCCUGGUAGUCCACGCCGUAAACGAUGGAUACUAGGUGUUGGGGGUAUUUGACCCCUGCGUGUCGGUAGCUAACGCAUUAAGUUCCCCGCCUGGGGAGUACGGUCGCAAGAUUAAAACUCAAAGGAAUUGGCGG
rnacentral:rRNA from 1 species